rnacentral:rRNA from 1 species
GUCGUGACUGCGUGCCUUUUGAAGAAUGAGCCUGCGAGUUAGCGGUGUGUAGCGAGGUUAACCCGUGUGGGGAAGCCGUAGCGAAAGCGAGUCCGAAUAGGGCGUUUGAGUUGCACGCUCUAGACCCGAAGCGGAGUGAUCUAGCCAUGGGCAGGUUGAAGCGGAGGUAAGACUUCGUGGAGGACCGAACCCACCAGGGUUGAAAACCUGGGGGAUGACCUGUGGUUAGGGGUGAAAGGCCAAUCAAACUCCGUGAUAGCUGGUUCUCCCCGAAAUGCAUUUAGGUGCAGCGUCGUGUGUUUCUUGCCGGAGGUAGAGCACUGGAUAGGCGAUGGGCCCUACCGGGUUACUGACCUUAGCCAAACUCCGAAUGCCGGUAAGUGAGAGCGCGGCAGUGAGACUGUGGGGGAUAAGCUCCAUGGUCGAGAGGGAAACAGCCCAGAGCAUCGACUAAGGCCCCUAAGCGUACGCUAAGUGGGAAAGGAUGUGGAGUCGCAGAGACAACCAGGAGGUUGGCUUAGAAGCAGCCACCCUUGAAAGAGUGCGUAAUAGCUCACUGGUCAAGUGAUUCCGCGCCGACAAUGUAGCGGGGCUCAAGCGUACCGCCGAAGUCGUGUCAUUCAUACACAUAGGGCCAACGCCUGUAUGGAUGGGUAGGGGAGCGUCGUGUGCCGGGUGAAGCAGCCGCGGAAGCGAGUUGUGGACGGUUCACGAGUGAGAAUGCAGGCAUGAGUAGCGAUACACACGUGAGAAACGUGUGCGCCGAUUGACUAAGGGUUCCUGGGUCAAGCUGAUCUGCCCAGGGUAAGUCGGGACCUAAGGCGAGGCCGACAGGCGUAGUCGAUGGACAACCGGUUGAUAUUCCGGUACCCGCUUUGAAACGCCCAGUACUGAAUCAGGCGAUGCUAAGUCCGUGAAGCCGGCCCGAUCUCUUCGGAGUUGAGGGUAGUGGUGGAGCCGAUGAACCAGACUUGUAGUAGGUAAGCGAUGGGGUGACGCAGGAAGGUAGUCCAGCCCGGGCGGUGGUUGUCCCGGGGUAAGGGUGUAGCCCGUGUGGUAGGCAAAUCCGUCACACAUAUAAGGGUGAGACCUGAUGCCGAGCCGAUUGUGGUGAAGUGGAUGAUCCUAUGCUGUCGAGAAAAGCCUCUAGCGAGUUUCAUGGCGGCCCGUACCCUAAACCGACUCAGGUGGUCAGGUAGAGAAUACCGAGGCGUUCGGGUGAACUAUGGUUAAGGAACUCGGCAAAAUGCCCCCGUAACUUCGGGAGAAGGGGGGCCAUCACUGGUGAUAGCACUUGCUGCUUGAGCUGGGGGUGGCCGCAGAGACCAGCGAGAAGCGACUGUUUACUAAAAACACAGGUCCGUGCGAAGCCGUAAGGCGAUGUAUACGGACUGACGCCUGCCCGGUGCUGGAACGUUAAGGGGACCGGUUAGUGCACUUUCGGGUGUGCGAAGCUGAGAACUUAAGCGCCAGUAAACGGCGGUGGUAACUAUAACCAUCCUAAGGUAGCGAAAUUCCUUGUCGGGUAAGUUCCGACCUGCACGAAUGGCGUAACGACUUCUCGACUGUCUCAACCAUAGGCCCGGUGAAAUUGCACUACGAGUAAAGAUGCUCGUUUCGCGCAGCAGGACGGAAAGACCCCGGGACCUUUACUAUAGUUUGAUAUUGGUGUUCGGUUCGGCUUGUGUAGGAUAGGUGGGAGACUUUGAAGCGGCCACGCCAGUGGUUGUGGAGUCGUCGUUGAAAUACCACUCUGGUCGUGCUGGAUGUCUAACCUGGGUCCGUGAUCCGGAUCAGGGACAGUGUCUGAUGGGUAGUUUAACUGGGGCGGUUGCCUCCUAAAGAGUAACGGAGGCGCCCAAAGGUUCCCUCAGCCUGGUUGGCAAUCAGGUGUUGAGUGUAAGUGCACAAGGGAGCUUGACUGUGAGACCGACGGGUCGAGCAGGGACGAAAGUCGGGACUAGUGAUCCGGCAGUGGCUUGUGGAAGCGCUGUCGCUCAACGGAUAAAAGGUACCCCGGGGAUAACAGGCUGAUCUUCCCCAAGAGUCCAUAUCGACGGGAUGGUUUGGCACCUCGAUGUCGGCUCGUCGCAUCCUGGGGCUGGAGUCGGUCCCAAGGGUUGGGCUGUUCGCCCAUUAAAGCGGUACGCGAGCUGGGUUUAGAACGUCGUGAGACAGUUCGGUCCCUAUCCGCUGCGCGCGUAGGAAUAUUGAGAAGGGCUGUCCCUAGUACGAGAGGACCGGGACGGACGAACCUCUGGUGUGCCAGUUGUCCUGCCAAGGGCAUGGCUGGUUGGCUACGUUCGGAAAGGAUAACCGCUGAAAGCAUCUAAGCGGGAAGCCUGCUUCGAGAUGAGUAUUCCCACCCCCUUUGAGGGGUUAAGGCUCCCAGUAGACGACUGGGUUGAUAGGCCAGAUGUGGAAGCCCUGUAAGGGGUGGAGCUGACUGGUACUAAUAGGCCGAGGGCUUGUCCUCAGUUG